UGAGAGUCUUUCAAAUCAGAUCAUGCCUAGAGGGCAGAGACAGAAGAGGACUGAAAAUGUUGGCCAGGAUCCUUCACACAGAAGCGUAUAUCUCACCCCCUAAAAAAAAUGAACGAGAAUCUUCACAAAAGAUCUACUGAGCAUUUUCAUAUUUCUGGUUCAAGCAUCAGAUUUUCAAAUUCUGGAAAGAUUGAGAAGUCUCACUCUUCCCUAGGAGAAUAUAAGAAUGUCAUAGCCGAUGUCCACAAUAGUGAUGGUAUAAUGGUUUACUAGGUCAACCAUAUUUCCUGUGGAACCUGAUGGCUGCAUUGUUUCCUACUAGACUCUGCAUUAUUAUAUUCGAAUAGCAAUCUUUAAUCUAAACUAUAUCUCUAAAAGUCCUAGGAUACAACUUUUCCAGUUUAAAAGCAAUCUAACUUGUGUCACAUAACAUACUUUUUAAAAGGAGGUACUUUAUCUGCAGGAUAUUUACUCUGUUCUCUGGAGUUGGGAUUAUAUGCAAAGAAUAAACUAUGACUAUAUCACUAGAAAUGCUACUAUGGAGUCUUCUGUGUUUGCCCCAAGAACAGCUAAAUUGCUCCCUAGGAGGAAGUAAAAGGUUUCUAAUGGUAUUUAAUUUUUAGCUAUAUUUUGAUAUGAACAUAAUGGAAGAAAGCAAAAGCCGGCAUAUUCCAUUCUAAAACGUUGCACAUAGAUUUGUGCAUCA